rnacentral:rRNA from 1 species
UACGGAGGAUGCAAGCGUUAUCCGGAAUUACUGGGCGUAAAGCGUCUGUAGGCGGAUGUGCUAGUCUGCUGUCAAAGACCGGGGCUUAACCCUGGAAAGGCAGUGGAAACUGAAAAUCUAGAGUGCGGUAGAGGCAGAGGGAAUUCCCAGUGUAGCGGUGAAAUGCGUAGAGAUUAGGAAGAACACCGGUGGCGAAAGCGCUCUGCUAGUCCAAAACUGACGCUAAGGGACGAAAGCGAGGGGAGCGAAUGGG